rnacentral:rRNA from 1 species
ACUAAGCGUACACGGUGGAUGCCCUGGCAGUCAGAGGCGAUGAAGGACGUGCUAAUCUGCGAAAAGCGUCGGUAAGGUGAUAUGAACCGUUACAGCCGGCGAUGUCCGAAUGGGGAAACCCAGUGCAAUUCGUUGCACUAUCGUUAACUGAAUACAUAGGUUAACGAGGCGAACCGGGGGAACUGAAACAUCUAAGUACCCCGAGGAAAAGAAAUCAACCGAGAUUCCCCCAGUAGCGGCGAGCGAACGGGGAGCAGCCCAGAGUCUGAAUCAGCUUGUGUGUUAGUGGAACGGUCUGGAAAGUCCGACGGUACAGGGUGAUAGUCCCGUACACCAAAAUGCACAGGUUGUGAACUCGAAGAGUAGGGCGGGACACGUGGUAUCCUGUCUGAAUAUGGGGGGACCAUCCUCCAAGGCUAAAUACUCCUGACUGACCGAUAGUGAACCAGUACCGUGAGGGAAAGGCGAAAAGAACCCCGGCGAGGGGAGUGAAAAAGAACCUGAAACCGUGUACGUACAAGCAGUGGGAGCACCUUCGGGUGUGACUGCGUACCUUUUGUAUAAUGGGUCAGCGACUUAUAUUCUGUAGCAAGGUUAACCGUAUAGGGGAGCCGCAGGGAAACCGAGUCUUAACUGGGCGUUAAGUUGCAGGGUAUAGACCCGAAACCCGGUGAUCUAGCCAUGGGCAGGUUGAAGGUUGGGUAACACUAACUGGAGGACCGAACCGACUAAUGUUGAAAAAUUAGCGGAUGACUUGUGGCUGGGGGUGAAAGGCCAAUCAAACCGGGAGAUAGCUGGUUCUCCCCGAAAGCUAUUUAGGUAGCGCCUCGUGAACUCAUCUUCGGGGGUAGAGCACUGUUUCGGCUAGGGGGUCAUCCCGACUUACCAACCCGAUGCAAACUACGAAUACCGAAGAAUGUUAUCACGGGAGACACACGGCGGGUGCUAACGUCCGUCGUGAAGAGGGAAACAACCCAGACCGCCAGCUAAGGUCCCAAAGUCAUGGUUAAGUGGGAAACGAUGUGGGAAGGCACAGACAGCCAGGAUGUUGGCUUAGAAGCAGCCAUCAUUUAAAGAAAGCGUAAUAGCUCACUGGUCGAGUCGGCCUGCGCGGAAGAUGUAACGGGGCUAAACCAUGCACCGAAGCUGCGGCAGCGACACUAUGUGUUGUUGGGUAGGGGAGCGUUCUGUAAGCCUGCGAAGGUGUGCUGUGAGGCAUGCUGGAGGUAUCAGAAGUGCGAAUGCUGACAUAAGUAACGAUAAAGCGGGUGAAAAGCCCGCUCGCCGGAAGACCAAGGGUUCCUGUCCAACGUUAAUCGGGGCAGGGUGAGUCGACCCCUAAGGCGAGGCCGAAAGGCGUAGUCGAUGGGAAACAGGUUAAUAUUCCUGUACUUGGUGUUACUGCGAAGGGGGGACGGAGAAGGCUAUGUUAGCCGGGCGACGGUUGUCCCGGUUUAAGCAUGUAGGCUGGUUGUCCAGGCAAAUCCGGAUAAUCAAGGCUGAGGUGUGAUGACGAGGCACUACGGUGCUGAAGUAACAAAUGCCCUGCUUCCAGGAAAAGCCUCUAAGCAUCAGGUAACAUCAAAUCGUACCCCAAACCGACACAGGUGGUCAGGUAGAGAAUACCAAGGCGCUUGAGAGAACUCGGGUGAAGGAACUAGGCAAAAUGGUGCCGUAACUUCGGGAGAAGGCACGCUGGUGUGUAGGUGAAGUCCCUGCGGAUGGAGCUGAGACCAGUCGAAGAUACCAGCUGGCUGCAACUGUUUAUUAAAAACACAGCACUGUGCAAACACGAAAGUGGACGUAUACGGUGUGACGCCUGCCCGGUGCCGGAAGGUUAAUUGAUGGGGUUAUCCGUAAGGAGAAGCUCUUGAUCGAAGCCCCGGUAAACGGCGGCCGUAACUAUAACGGUCCUAAGGUAGCGAAAUUCCUUGUCGGGUAAGUUCCGACCUGCACGAAUGGCGUAAUGAUGGCCAGGCUGUCUCCACCCGAGACUCAGUGAAAUUGAACUCGCUGUGAAGAUGCAGUGUACCCGCGGCAAGACGGAAAGACCCCGUGAACCUUUACUAUAGCUUGACACUGAACAUUGAGCCUUGAUGUGUAGGAUAGGUGGGAGGCUUUGAAGCGUGGACGCCAGUCUGCGUGGAGCCAACCUUGAAAUACCACCCUUUAAUGUUUGAUGUUCUAACGUUGGCCCCUGACCGGGGUUGCGGACAGUGUCUGGUGGGUAGUUUGACUGGGGCGGUCUCCUCCCAAAGCGUAACGGAGGAGCACGAAGGUUAGCUAAUCCUGGUCGGACAUCAGGAGGUUAGUGCAAUGGCAUAAGCUAGCUUGACUGCGAGCGUGACGGCGCGAGCAGGUGCGAAAGCAGGUCAUAGUGAUCCGGUGGUUCUGAAUGGAAGGGCCAUCGCUCAACGGAUAAAAGGUACUCCGGGGAUAACAGGCUGAUACCGCCCAAGAGUUCAUAUCGACGGCGGUGUUUGGCACCUCGAUGUCGGCUCAUCACAUCCUGGGGCUGAAGUAGGUCCCAAGGGUAUGGCUGUUCGCCAUUUAAAGUGGUACGCGAGCUGGGUUUAGAACGUCGUGAGACAGUUCGGUCCCUAUCUGCCGUGGGCGCUGGAGAAUUGAGGGGGGCUGCUCCUAGUACGAGAGGACCGGAGUGGACGCAUCACUGGUGUUCGGGUUGUCAUGCCAAUGGCACUGCCCGGUAGCUAAAUGCGGAAGAGAUAAGUGCUGAAAGCAUCUAAGCACGAAACUUGCCCCGAGAUGAGUUCUCCCUGAGACUUUAAGUCUCCUGAAGGAACGUUGAAGACGACGACGUUGAUAGGCCGGGUGUGUAAGCGCAGCGAUGCGUUGAGCUAACCGGUACUAAUGAACCGUGAGGCUUAACC